rnacentral:rRNA from 1 species
CCUACGGGAGGCUGCAGUCGAGAAUCAUUCGCAAUGGGCGCAAGCCUGACGAUGCGACGCCGCGUGCAGGAUGAAGGUCUUCGGGAUUGUAAACUGCUGUGAUGGGGGAGCAAUGCAGGACGUGCUAACACCACGUACUGUUGAUAGUACCCCAAGAGGAAGCCACGGCUAACUCUGUGCCAGCAGCCGCGGUAAUACAGAGGUGGCAAGCGUUGUUCGGAUUUACUGGGCGUAAAGGGUGCGUAGGCGGUCCCGUGUGUCGGGUGUGAAAGCCCACGGAUCAUCCGUGGAACUGCACUCGAAACUGCGGGGCUAGAGUGCCGGAGAGGAUGGCGGAAUUCUCGGUGUAGCGGUGAAAUGCGUUGAGAUCGAGAGGAACGCCGGUGGCGAAGGCGGCCAUCUGGACGGCAACUGACGCUGAGGCACGAAAGCUAGGGGAGCAAACAGGAUUAGAUACCCUGGUAGUCCUAGCCGUAAACGGUGUGCACUUGAUGUGGGAGGAAUUAUCCCCUUCCGUGUCGGAGCUAACGCGUUAAGUGCACCGCCUGGGGAGUACGGUCGCAAGAUUAAAACUCAAAUGAAUUGACGG